UACGAAGGGGGCUAGCGUUGCUCGGAAUCACUGGGCGUAAAGGGCGCGUAGGCGGCGUGGUAAGUCACUUGUGAAAUCUCCGAGCUUAACUCGGAACUGCCAAGUGAUACUGCUGUGCUAGAGUGCAGAAGGGGCAACCGGAAUUCUUGGUGUAGCGGUGAAAUGCGUAGAUAUCAAGAGGAACACCUGAGGUGAAGACGGGUUGCUGGGCUGACACUGACGCUGAGGCGCGAAAGCUAGGGUAGCAAACGGG
rnacentral:rRNA from 1 species